GAAGCACGCCAGACCGCCGCUGGUGCAAUCGCCGAAAGGCGGCACUGGAGGAACGUCCGGACUGCACAGGGCAGCGCAGGAGCUAACGGCUCCCCAUCGCGAGGUGAGGAUCAGAGCAACAGAGACGAGCCGAUUCAGUUCGGGUGAAACGGGCAAUCUCUGCGCGCAGCAAUACCAAGUAGGUGAACGUCGAGGCGGCCCGCUGAGUUCACGGGUAGGUAGCAUCGAGCCGUCCGGGUGACCGGCGGCCAAGACAGAUGGCGGUCACGCCGCGGGCAACCGCGGUGCACAGAAUCCGGCGUAUCGGCGCGCUUCACAA
rfam:Pseudacidovorax intermedius strain NS331 contig_76, whole genome shotgun sequence.